rnacentral:rRNA from 1 species
CCUGAUGGCAAUAGCAAGUUGGUACCACCUGAUCCAUUUCGAACUCAGAAGUGAAACGACUUAGCGCCGAAAAUAGUUGGGCAACUGCCCUGCAAAGAUAGGACACCGUCAGGC